GGAGUAGUAGCUCAGAGGUAGAGCAUUUGCAUCGUACAUGUGAGGCACUGGGUUCGAUUCCCAGCACCACCU
rnacentral:tRNA from 1 species